UACAGAGGUCCCAAGCGUUGUUCGGAUUCAUUGGGCGUAAAGGGUGCGUAGGCGGUGCCGUAAGUCGGAUGUGAAAUCUCGGGGCUCAACCCUGAAACUGCAUUCGAUACUGCGGUGCUAGAGGACUCUAGAGGAAACUGGAAUUCACGGUGUAGCAGUGAAAUGCGUAGAUAUCGUGAGGAAGACCAGUGGCGAAGGCGGGUUUCUGGAGAGUUCCUGACGCUGAGGCACGAAGGCCAGGGGAGCAAACGGG
rnacentral:rRNA from 1 species